rnacentral:lncRNA from 1 species
AUAACCGUGCACCACACUGACCUCAGCACCACACCAGCCCUCAGAAGCCACCGUUCACCCUUCCAGUACCUGUGGAGCCCAGAUGUGGCACGUAACAAGUUUGGUGUUUCUUACGGUGUUGACGAUGUCGUGGGCUGCUGCCGAUGUCGACGAGGACGACGACUUUCUCGGAGAUUUCGAACCAAGACGUUCAGGUGAUUACCGUACCCAGUCCAAUCCCCUACGUGGGUUGGACUGGGUCCGUAAAGGCUACGGAUACCACACCAGGAAGUUCCGAAGCCCUCACCGACGCGUCAACAAAAUACGCAAUGGGCGGGACGUCUAGAGCAACCCUUAUGACGAGAUUAUCUUCCUGUUACCUGCUGUUGAACAACUAAACUUACAUCCUAAGGCUGCUGUACUAAUUACAGAUGAAACACGAGGCUUCCCUAUCCCUGGAGCGGAGCGCCUCUGUCGUUAUCUUGGACAUUAUUACAGUGGAGUACAAUACCACUGUACCCACCCAUAUCCCAGGCAUGGGUACCACGACCCUGGACGCUGCUGUUAUGUGGCAGGUACGUCUCCAAGCCAGAGGUUGUGCCUUCAACCUCUUACAUGAUGGCCAUCUUUAACCACAGCUUCACGACUCAUCUAGCGACCAAAACAUGGCAGACUUAACAGAGCACCAGAGAUAUACUCUGAAUAUUUACUACGUGACAUGGAGUGUACGGCAGGUGUGGUGGGAAGCGCAGAUGUCUGCUCAGUAGAAGGAUCCACCGCCCAGCUGUGACGAAGUGCUUCACUCCACCCUGAAGCCACUCAAAUUUUCUACUCAUGUUGAUCUUGUUUGCUGGGAUUUUUGGGGGGCCAAAAUCUUUUAAAAUAACAUCUAUUCGUUAAUAAUUUUUGCAUUAUUGUACAUGUAAAAAUAAAAGUUAUAACCGUCUCCUUA